rfam:Schistosoma margrebowiei strain Zambia genome assembly, scaffold: SMRZ_scaffold0000557
AUCUAACUGAAGUAUCUUAAAUAGGACGAAGCAUGCGUCCUGGAU